rnacentral:rRNA from 1 species
GAUGAACGCUGGCGGCGUGCCUAAUACAUGCAAGUCGAGCGAAUGGAUUAAGAGCUUGCUCUUAUGAAGUUAGCGGCGGACGGGUGAGUAACACGUGGGUAACCUGCCCAUAAGACUGGGAUAACUCCGGGAAACCGGGGCUAAUACCGGAUAACAUUUUGAACCGCAUGGUUCGAAAUUGAAAGGCGGCUUCGGCUGUCACUUAUGGAUGGACCCGCGUCGCAUUAGCUAGUUGGUGAGGUACCGGCUCACCAAGGCAACGAGGCGUAGCCGACCUGAGAGGGUGAUCGGCCACACUAGGACUGAGACACGGCCCAGACUCCUACGGGAGGCAGCAGUAGGGAAUCUUCCGCAAUGGACGAAAGUCUGACGGAGCAACGCCGCGUGAGUGAUGAAGGCUUUCGGGUCGUAAAACUCUGUUGUUAGGGAAGAACAAGUGCUAGUUGAAUAAGCUGACACCUUGACGGUACCUAACCAGAAAGCCACGGCUAACUACGUGCCAGCCGCCGCCGUAA